rnacentral:lncRNA from 1 species
UAUUGGGGGAUGACAAACAAAGAAGGAACAGAUCCCACCGAAAGUAAAAAUAUUGUAAGAGCCUCAGUCUCGAACAGUCACGCCUAGAGCUCAGAAGUGUAUUAUAAGUAUAUAAACGAGGAAAAAAUAGUUUUCUUCUUUCUUUUAAAUUUCUUUUUAUUUUACGCGAUCCAUGGUCGACCAGGAGAAGAUGAGCGAUAUGGACAAGGACAUGAAUCCGAUCCUCAACAAAAACAACUAUAAGUACUGGAAAAGGAUGACGGAAGUUUCUAUGGUUUCCCUGGGCUUGUGGGAUGCAGUGGAUCCAGGAUUGACUGCAGUAGAAAGGACAAGAUCUGAGUACGUCAAACUGGAUAACAUGGCACGUGCAUACAUUUUCCGGCACGUUCGCCCCGAGUAUCUCGUAGACAUCAAACGCCUGAAAACAGCAAAGGAGUGUUGGAAAGCACUGGAAGAGAUCUAUGGAAGAUCCACAUUGAUGGACAUCGCCUUGUGCGUGCGGGAACUGGGCACUAUCGAAAAGACUCCCAGCAUGGAUAUCCUCGUGUAUUGUGAAAAAAUUCAAGUUGUGUUUGACAAAUUGUCUGAAGCCGGUAUUAAAUUUGAAGAUAACGUGGUGGCAUCUUUUAUUUUGACUGGACUUUCGACAGAUCCAAAUUAUUCGACCUAUGUCAGAACAACAAAGAUUGAUAAGGUUCUGACCUCGAGGGCAGUGAAGGCCGACCUCCUACUCGAAGAGAAAAGAAUUAAUGCGUUGGCACCUAGAAGGCAAUAGAAACCCAGGUUAGUACCAAAACAAAGAUGGCGCGAAUCCGAAGAGCAGAGACACAAGUGAUCAAAGAUGUUACAAAUGUAGAAAAUGGGGCCACAUUUCAUACCAGUGUCGAGGGGAGAAAGGAGACAGAGAAGACAGGGCAACCUUUGAAAGUGUUUCGUGAUUUAGAUUUUGCAGGGUGUUUAGUAAAUAGAAAAUCUAGAAGUGAGUAUGUUUUCACAUUUGCUGGUGGUGCAAUAUCUUGGUUGUCAAAGAAGCAACUUAUCAUAUCUCAAUCGACUUGUGAAGCAGAAUUCGUAGCAAUGCAGGAGGCAGUAAGGGAGACUGCGUAGAUAUCCUCACUGUUAAGAAAGUUGGAUCAAUUGUCAUAUUGUCCCCGCCCAUGCAGAACUUUCUGUGACAAUAUUAGAGCUAUUUCAUGAUCCAAGGAUGAGGUAGUCGCUGAGAGUUCUAAACAAAUAUCCUUACCAAAGGCUUAAAUAGAAUUAAGACUCGGUGUUUUACCAAAACUAUGGGGCUUGUAGAAACUAUAAUCAAAGGGGAGUGUUGAGAUAAAUGUCAGGUUGGUAUGAUCACUAGUUCCUACGUGCAGAGUUGGUACGACUACUUACGACUGAGUAUCGACUAUUUAUCUGAGUAUUCGGUGUGUUGUAAUGGCUGUACAAGGUGGUGAAAUACAGAGUAUACAAAACUAA